ACUCAAAUGAAUAGACGGGGGCCCGCACAAGCGGUGGAGCAUGUGGUUUAAUUCGACGCAACGCGCAGAACCUUACCAACUCUUGACAUGGCCGUUAAAGCUGCCGAGAGGCAGUGUCCCGCAAGGGGGCGGUUACAGGUGCUGCAUGGCUGUCGUCAGCUCGUGUCGUGAGAUGUUGGGUUAAGUCCCGCAACGAGCGCAACCCUUGUCCGUAGUUGCCAUCAGGUUGGGCUGGGCACUCUACGGGGACUGCCGGUGACAAGCCGGAGGAAGGUGGGGAUGACGUCAAGUCCUCAUGGCCCUUACGAGUUGGGCUACACACGUGCUACAAUGGUGGUGACAGAGGGCAGCCAGGCCGCGAGGCCGAGCGAAUCCCGAAAAGCCAUCUCAGUUCGGAUUGCACUCUGCAACUCGAGUGCAUGAAGGUGGAAUCGCUAGUAAUCGCGGAUCAGCACGCCGCGGUGAAUACGUUCCCGGGCCUUGUACACACCGCCCGU
rnacentral:rRNA from 1 species